UAUGUGAACAUGGGGCAAUUAUGCUAAUAUUUCCACAUGGAUAUAUGCAAGUGAAAAAAAAAGUUCACAACCCCGAGACAGAAAGGCCAGGAAGAAAUGCAGCUCCACGUUGAAACUUUGACUAUUAGGAAAUCAAAUUGGUCAAGUCCUCUGAGUUAGGUCUUUGAAGGAGUAAUUUGGCUAGUUACUGACUAUUUUAUGUUAAUUGCCAUGAAGAAUGUAGGCUAGAUAUCACAAAAACAUCGACACAUUCCAAAAUACUUAACACUAUGUGGUUCAUUAUGAGACUUUGGCCAUCUUUUAUGGCAUUUUGGCCACAAUGUGCUUCACUUUAAAACUAACUAAUAAAGCAUAGUCCAGCAUUUAGACUUGGCAUAACAAAAGAGGCAAACACGAUUAGAAACCAUCAAAUCCAUCUCCAAAUGAGCAGAACUAUUACCUUGUUGAGAGAUUGGUAAAACAAAAAAAAUGCAUUUUCCUAAUUUGUGGUUUAGCUGAAGUGUUUAUUGCAUGGGUGGCCACUUUAAUCACAAUCUCUGCCACGUAUAGUCAGAAACAAAACAAACAUUCAAGCCAAAAUCCACCAGGCCACAAGAGCAAAACUUCAUCAUGUCAAAAACUACUCGUUUCCAUGGUAACUGCCCAUGAUUCGUCAAUGUAGUGGGCAUAGUGAUCGAAAGUGGCUUUUUCAUUAUGAAGCAUUUAAAGAUUCAGUUCAAGCUGUGGGUCCCACCUCACAGUCGCUGUGAUGUCACCAGACCGUCCAAACACAUUUGAAGAGAAAAGGAAGGCAAAGAACUGGGGAGAGAAGACCUGCCAACCCUUUAGACCUCCAAGGAAGAAUACCAAUAAGGAUUUGUCCUGCACCGCACUUUCCCAAAGUCCCUGACACAUGAGGCUACAAUGUGCCCCAGGGCGCCACGACAUCCUGCUGCUGAAGGGAAAAGGGGCCCCCAGGACCAGGACUCCUCAGCACUAAACUAUAAGCAUUUUUGCAAUUGACUGCCCUCAAAUUAUAAUCACAAGUUAGGUUUAACAUCUCUCCAUGCUUCAAGUUAGGCAAUACAAUAUUCCAAAAUGAUCAGCCUCCAAAUGGUUUUCAUAAAAGAAGUCUCUAAAAGUGUGCAGGACUCAGAGUUGAAGCAAGCUGCAGCCAUUUGUUUCCAUUUUUUCCAGACACAUUUACCAAACUAAAAGCUCUAGUUGAUGGAGAAAGCAGGGCUAUAUUAUUGAAAAGGCCUGCAUUGGAACAAUGUGUGUUUAUUGUGUUCAUCGGUCUCUCCCUGGCACAGUCUGGAGUUAAAGGGCUGGGCAGUUUAAAUGAGCCGACAGUGCUGCUUACCCUCUCAUUUACCUGUAAGAGAGCUUGUGGUCACGGGAGGAAAAGGCCACGGGGAAGCGGGGAAUAGAGGUGCUGCACUGGCUGUGAUGAUGAUGGAGUGUCUACAAAUAUGACUCCAAAAAGGGUCAUUUUGAUGGGUCGGCAAUAUGUAAAGGCUGGCCCGUCAGUUCCUGACCUUUUGAGAGUGACCGGUGGGGGAAGGGUCUAUCUGUAGGAGAGAACCGACAGAAAGGGAGAAACACAGAGAGGGGCUGUUCAGUGUCACGCCCAUUAUGACCCGCUAAAAACUUGGACCACUCUCUGGCGAAGAGCCAUCCAUCAUCGGGGCCUCUCUAAUCAGCAUGUUUGUCACUGUAACUAAACAGUGGGCUGAGCCACAUUGCCACGCUAUUGGCCCUGACAGGGAGAAAUAAAUCUGCUGCCGGCCAAUGGGCUGCAGGCAGCCGAGCGUGGCAGGAAAGGUGACAGACUCUCGAGGUCUCAACUAGUGAGAGAUUAAGGGGAACUCGCUCAGACUCUGGGGUGGAGGAAACAUUUGAACGAUUUUACUGGUGUACAGCCAGCCGCUGAAGCUGGCGCUCCUGCAACGUGCGUGCUGAAAGUGAAAACGUCUUUGUCUCCCCUCUGGCAAGACAGGUCCAUUUGUUCAGUUAAGGGAAACUCUGCUAGUCUUUGUAAAAGUUAACUGAUAGGUGUUGUGUGUGUUUGUGAGAAUCUUUUCUGUGGUGGUCACAUUGAAUAAAUCCUGGUGUAUUUUUUGGAGAAAAAGCUUAAAACAAAAAUUAAAGUCUAGAAUAUCACACAGUGA